UACGGGGGGAGCAAGCGUUGUUCGGAUUUACUGGGCGUAAAGGGCGCGUAGGCGGUCGUGACAAGUCACUUGUGAAAUCUCCGGGCUUAACUCGGAACGGUCAAGUGAUACUGCCGGACUAGAGUACAGAAGGGGCAACUGGAAUUCUCGGUGUAGCGGUGAAAUGCGUAGAUAUCGAGAGGAACACCUGCGGCGAAGGCGGGUUGCUGGGCUGAUACUGACGCUGAGGCGCGAAAGCCAGGGGAGCGAACGGG
rnacentral:rRNA from 1 species